rnacentral:rRNA from 1 species
UACGUAGGGUGCAAGCGUUAUCCGGAAUUAUUGGGCGUAAAGGGCUCGUAGGCGGUUUGUCGCGUCGGGAGUGAAAACACCGGGCUUAACUCGGUGCUUGCUUUCGAUACGGGCAGACUAGAGGCAUGCAGGGGAGAACGGAAUUCCUGGUGUAGCGGUGAAAUGCGCAGAUAUCAGGAGGAACACCGGUGGCGAAGGCGGUUCUCUGGGCAUGUCCUGACGCUGAGGAGCGAAAGUGUGGGGAGCGAACAGG